AUUGAACGCUGGCGGCAUGCCUAACACAUGCAAGUCGAACGGCAGCACGGGAGCUUGCUCCUGGUGGCGAGUGGCGGACGGGUGAGUAAUGCAUAGGAAUCUGCCCAGUAGCGGGGGACAACUUGGGGAAACUCAAGCUAAUACCGCAUGCGCCCUACGGGGGAAAGCGGGGGACCUUCGGGCCUCGCACUAUUGGAUGAGCCUAUGUCAGAUUAGCUUGUUGGUGGGGUAACGGCCUACCAAGGCGACGAUCUGUAGCUGGUCUGAGAGGACGAUCAGCCACACUGGGACUGAGACACGGCCCAGACUCCUACGGGAGGCAGCAGUGGGGAAUAUUGCACAAUGGGCGAAAGCCUGAUGCAGCAAUGCCGCGUGUGUGAAGAGGGCCUGCGGGUUGUAAAGCACUUUCAGUAGGGAGGAAACAGUAGCCGGUUAAUAUCCGGUUGCCUUGACGUUACCUACAGAAGAAGCACCGGCUAACU
rnacentral:rRNA from 1 species